CUGCGAAACCCGCUCCAGUCAGUGGGGCGAGGUCUAUCCAGCGUAGUGGCUGGGUACUGAUGAGCAGCUAACA
rnacentral:hammerhead_ribozyme from 1 species